rnacentral:lncRNA from 1 species
UUUUUUUUUCUUUUUUUAAUUUUUGUUAACAACAGGGAAGAGAUGUAGUCUCCCCUCCCCCAGCCUGAAACCUGCUUGCUCAGGGGUGGAGCUUCCUGUACUCAUUCGUUCUGCCAUGCCCACUGCUGGACUGUGCUGCUUUGCUGUUUGGAGCCACACACGUGCUCACCCUGCUACUGGACUACGAGAUUAUUUGGCGGGAAUCGGGUACCCUCUCCCUUCCUUCAUAACUGAGUGUCGCAACAGUAAAAUAGAGCUUUGAUCAGAGUGACCUUGACUUGGCUCCAUUCUUUUUUCCACCCGUCUACUUCCUCUCUUUCAGCCCGAGUUGCCAUCUCAGUUGAACCAUUCUUUGCGAGCUGCUGGUCGGCUGCAACACAUAUUGUGUGAGUUCCUUUGUGAUUGGGUUACCUCACUCAGGAUGAUGCCCUCCAGGUCCAUCCAUUUGGCUAGGAAUUUCAUAAAUUCAUUCUUUUUAAUAGCUGAGUAGUACUCCAUUGUGUAAAUGUACCACAUUUUCUGUAUCCAUUCCUCUGUUGAGGGACAUCUGGGUUCUUUCCAGCUUCUGGCUAUUAUAAAUAAGGUUGCUAUGAACAUAGUGGAGCAUGUGUCCUUCUUACCGGUUGGGACAUCUUCUGGAUAUAUGCCCAGGAGAGGUAUUGCUGGAUCCUCCGGUAGUACUAUGUCCAAUUUUCUGAGGAACCACCAGACUGAUUUCCAGAGUGGUUGUACAAGCUUGCAAUCCCACCAACAAUGGAGGAAUGUUCCUCUUUCUCCACAUCCUCACCAGCAUCUGCUGUCACCUGAAUUUUUCAUCUUAGCCAUUCUGACUGGUGUGAGGUGGAAUCUUAGGGUUGUUUUGAUUUGCAUUUCCCUGAUGAUUAAGGAUGUUGAACAUUUUUUUCAGGUGCUUCUCUGCCAUUUGGUAUUGCUCAGGUGAGAAUUCUUUGUUCAGUUCUGAGCCCCAUUUUUAAUGGGGUUAUUUGAUUUUCUGGAGUCCACCUUCUUGAGUUCUUUAUAUAUGUUGGAUAUUAGUCCCCUAUCCGAUUUGGGAUAGGUAAAGAUCCUUUCCCAAUCUGUUGGUGGCCUUUUUGUCUUAUUGACGGUGUCUUUUGCCUUGCAGAAGCUUUGCAAUUUUAAGAGGUCCCAUUUAUCGAUUCUUGAUCUUACAGCACAAGCCAUUGCUGUUCUCUUCAGGAAUUUUUCCCCUGUACCCAUAUCUUCGAGGCUUUUUCCUACUUUCUCCUCUAUAAGUUUCAGUGUCUCUGGUUUUAUGUGGAGCUCCUUAAUCCACUUAGAUUUGACCUUAGUACAAGGAGAUAGAAAUGGAUCAAUUCGCAAUCUUCUACAUGAUAACAGCCAGUUGUGCCAGCAAUACAGGUGAUGGAAAUGAACAAAACCAUACUAGACCUAAAAAGGGAAGUAGACACAAUAAAGAAAACCCAAAGUGAGGCAAUGCUGGAGAUAGAAAACUCUCCUCUUAAUCCAGAAGGUAUGCUAAGGAAGACCUACAUACACCAAGAUAUGAAGUGCAUCUAGUUCUUAUUCUAACUCAGGUAGUGACUAUGUCUUUUCCCAUUGGCUAGGGUCUAAAUUCACAGUCUUCUCCCAUUGGCUAGUAUGAAAAGAAUUGGUGCUCAGAAAAUGGAGGAAGGAGAAAAGGGUCACCACUUCAAAGAGAAAACUACCACUGCUCUAGGCCAUCAGAUUCCUAGAACAGAGCAGUGGGCUUUUGUGUAAAGGAAGGUUUGACUGGGUGAGGAGAAUUAAAACAUUUGCUAGUCUUAUAAGGUAGGGGAGAUUUAAAGAUCUUGAUUCCUUGUAAACUCAAGACUCAUUUGAUAGACGAGACACAUUUGAUACUUUCUUACAAAACUUUUUCUUUUUAACAUUUUUUACCAAACUCAUUAAGAUACUAAUUUUCUUCAUCUACUACUUCUCCUCUUCCUCCUUCUUCCUUCUCUCUCUCUCUUUCUCUCUCUCUCUCUCUUUAAUUGAAAAUCCAUACACUAUAUUCUGAUCUGUUUCCUUUUCUCCAUCUCUUUCCAGAUCCUCCAGCUAUCCUUCCCCAUCCAACCCAAUGCUUUCUUUCUCUCUUUAGAAGAUAAAAGGUAAAAAU